rnacentral:rRNA from 1 species
UACGUAGGGGGCAAGCGUUGUCCGGAAUCAUUGGGCGUAAAGCGCGUGUAGGCGGCCUGCAUAGUCUGGUGUGAAAAUCUCGGGGGCUCAACCCCCGAGCUGUCACUUGGAUACUGGCAGGCUUUGAGUGGAAGAGGAGUGUGGAAUUCCUGGUGUAGCGGUGGAAAUGCGCAGAUAUCAGGGAGGAAACACCAAUGGCGAA